AGAAAAGCUACAGAAAAAUUGAAACAAUGGAGGGUAUUCCCUAUUUCUCUCUCCGCGAAGAUUGGUAUUAAACUUAGCCGGAUACGAAGAUGGGGUGAUGUUGGGGUGCUUGAGUAGAUACAGGAGUUUUUCAUAUUUAGGUAAAUCUGUACAGAUAAAAUUCCAUAGUGCACCCUCAAAAAGAUUGAAGAUUGAAUGCAAGUAAACCUUUUAAAUAAAGAAGUGCCUAGGUGAAGAAAAGAAAAAAAGAAGAUAAAAGACCUUUUGUCAAGUUUGCUUUAACCACCAUACUGCAGUAAAAGUUGCUGAACUAUCUUUGGAUCCAUUCUUUACUUUGCACGCUGGUACCAGCCCCAGAACUGGACUCUGGGUAAAUCCAUGACUGUUUCCUAUGAUGUGUGUAUUCAGAACAUAAAGACUAUCCUUCUCUUGACUGUGCCUUGCCUGUUGGAAUUGAGGCCCUGUUACACUGUUACAGAGUCAUCCACAGUUAAAUUAGGGGAGUAUUGUUUUAACUUGUUUACUUAUAUCGCUUGUUUUGUAUUCUCUUGUAAUUGUAUUUUUGUUGAUCAUAUUAGUUAUAAGAAGUCAUAUAGCUUUGUCUGCGGAAAAGUAUGCCUUAUUUGUAUUAGUACACAUUGUAGUUUAUGUACUUAAACAAAGUAACCAUCUAGAUAAGUGUAACUCUAAACCUUGCAGUAUUGUAACCUAUUGAAUGGCCCACUGAGUAUAGAAAAUAUGUUUGCUCCUUUAUAGUUUAAAGAAAAUGCUGCAAUAUAUCAGAAUAUUCUGGACCCUUCACCAUUGUAGAACA